ensembl:lncRNA
CGCUUUCACUAGGAGUAAACAGAUUGAUUCUCUGCUUGUAGACAAGUGCAUUUGGCAGAUACAAAGAGGACAUCUGGCUUUCCCUGGGAGGGGAGUAGCCCAUCCUGCUUGCUACAGUGGUGAAGAUAUGAUAACAUGACACAAAAGAAUUAAGGUCCCAAGUGAGGCCAUGGAAGCAUGCUGCAGUCUUCCUGGAGGAGUAGGAGUCACAGGAAGUCUGUAGCACUACUCCUAGUGCACACAAAUUCCUUGCUGCCAUAGUUUGGAAGCAGCAGGAAGAAGGUGUAAUGGUCAAAGUCAUGAUCCUGUAGACAAGAAAACAAAACUGCACGUGCUGCAUCCCUUCCUGAGAUGGGACAUCCAAAUUAUUUAUCUGUGUACCAGGAUUUAGCUAGUUAGGAAAAAUUUUUUCAACUGUAGGACUGCAAUAUAUCUUAAAAAAUCAGAAAUAACAUUUUCAGCUGGCAGCUCUGUCUCAUGGAUACAGCACGUUCUCUCUGGCAGUUGAAGAUGCUUUUCUUUCCAUUUCGUAGCUCUGAAGCUUUUGAUUUCUGUUCAAGCUACGUUCCUUAUCUUCCAUGAAAGUUUCCUUCUGCUGAUAAAUUCUCUAGCAAGUUUGCCUUCUUUGCUUGUAAUACUGGAUUCUUCUUCAUUUCUUUUUACCUACUCAUCAGAAAAGCUGUUUGUAGGUGUUAAUGUGCAGAUUUGUUUCCUGGCAGUCAUCCAUGUUACAGUUCACUUACUGAUUUAGAAACAGAG